GUGAACGAUGCCAAAAUAGAAGAGACGAAAAAAAACAAACAAAAUCGGGACGAAUAACAGUCAGAUUAUUUUCAGAGGGUCUUUGCGUCGUUGAAUCCGCUGCAGCACCGGGCGAAGGCAAGAAUCUGGAGCACCUAACAGACGCCUGUCAAGACGAUGGAGAAAAGACAAAAGAAAAAGAUAAUGGAACGGUUCGUUCGUGAGUCGUUUGACACACAAGAUUGUGAAAGAGUGGAAUACUACUAGGACGUGAACUCUACGCCAGACCCCACCAGACAACACUUUAUCCCGCUAUUGUGGCUGAGAGCCAAGGAGACGCAUAUUUGCAUCGGGAAUUAUUUAGAUUAUAAAGUACCCCAAAACAAGAUCCCUGGCAACAACAACGGAAAACACAAUAGUUUAUUCGAAAAUGUUUUAGCUAUUUAUAGCAGGGUGCGUUGGUGAUCAUAUCUGCGCAUAUCGUCGAUCGCCGUGAGAAACCCAAGUUCUCGCUAUCUACUUAGGAGGAGCGUCUCUUUCGCGUGUGUGGUAUGUUACGCAAUGGGGGUCUCCAGUCGAUUCCGGAUUCUUUUUCCGAGGGAAAAAAAGAACAAACGCGAAACGAUGGCAGACAUCAAGGAAAAACAAGAAGAAGAAGAGUAUCCCUUAAAGUUAGUCUCGGAUAUGGCAGAGGGCACCAGCAGGGAGGGGGGGGCGGAAUUGAUUGGUGUUAUUUUUGUUUUAAAAAAGAAAAAAAAAGAAGAGGACGGACGCGAUGGAAUGGG